rnacentral:piRNA from 2 species
UGGCCUGGAAUCGUUUUACUCCACUUCAC